UACGUAGGGCGCGAGCGUUGUCCGGAAUUAUUGGGCGUAAAGAGCUCGUAGGCGGCUUGUCACGUCGGUUGUGAAAGCCCGGGGCUUAACCCCGGGUCUGCAGUCGAUACGGGCAGGCUAGAGUUCGGUAGGGGAGAUCGGAAUUCCUGGUGUAGCGGUGAAAUGCGCAGAUAUCAGGAGGAACACCGGUGGCGAAGGCGGAUCUCUGGGCCGAUACUGACGCUGAGGAGCGAAAGCGUGGGGAGCGAAC
rnacentral:rRNA from 1 species